AACGAACGCUGGCGGCAUGCCUAACACAUGCAAGUCGAACGAGACCUUCGGGUCUAGUGGCGCACGGGUGCGUAACGCGUGGGAACCUGCCCUUAGGUUCGGAAUAACUCCCCGAAGGGGGUGCUAAUACCGGAUAAUUUCUUCGGACCAAAGAUUUAUCGCCUUUGGAUGGGCCCGCGUUGGAUUAGCUAGGUGGUAGGGUAAAAGCCUACCAAGGCGACGAUCCAUAGCUGGUCUGAGAGGAUGAUCAGCCACACUGGGACUGAGACACGGUCCAGACUCCUACGGGAGGCAGCAGUGGGGAAUAUUGGACAAUGGGCGAAAGCCUGAUCCAGCAAUGCCGCGUGAGUGAUGAAGGCCUUAGGGUUGUAAAGCUCUUUUACCCGGGAUGAUAAUGACAGUACCGGGAGAAUAAGCUCCGGCUAACUCCGUG
rnacentral:rRNA from 1 species